AAUCCAUGCAUAGGACAUUUCCUAAGCAAAUCUUUGAACCUUUCCCAUGCUUUAUAUAGUGUUUUAUCCUCUAGUGCCUGAAAGAUGUUAUGUCAUUUCUCAGUUU
rnacentral:snoRNA from 1 species